GACCCUAAAUCAUUAAAUAGCCGCAGUUUACUGUGCGAAGGUAGCAUAAUCACUUGCUUUAUAAUUAAAAGAUAGAAUGAAAGGUAAAACGACACAAAGCUUUCUUCAACAAUUACAACUAAAUUAAUUUUAAUGUAAAAAAGCAUUAAUGCAUCAAUAAGACGAUAAGACCCUGAUAAACUAAAAAUUUUAGUUGGGGAGACUAAUAAAAUAAUCCUUAAAAAUAACAAUAACACAACUUAAUACAAUAAAUAAAGAUAAGUUACUACAGGGAUAACAGCGCUAUUUUUCUUUAAAGCUCAUAUUAAAAGAAAAGCUUACGACCUCGAUGUUGAAUUAAUUUCCUUAUAUAACGCAAAAGUUUAAAUCAGCUAGUCUGUUCGACUAUUAAAUAAUU
rnacentral:rRNA from 1 species